UACGUAGGGGGCUAGCGUUGUCCGGAAUCAUUGGGCGUAAAGAGCGCGUAGGCGGCUGGAAUAGUCCGGUGUGAAAUCCACAGGCUUAACCUGUGAAUGCCGCUGGAAACUGUCUGGCUAGAGUCCGGAAGGGGCGAGUGGAAUUCCUGGUGUAGCGGUGGAAAUGCGCAGAUAUCAGGAGGAACACCGGUGGCGAAGGCGGGUCUCUGGGCCGAUACUGACGCUGAGGAGCGAAAGCGUGGGGAGCGAACAGG
rnacentral:rRNA from 1 species